GCAGAGUAGGGACAUACGUGUCAUCCCAGUGCCGGAAAGACGGGGAGUUGCUUUCCGGACGAAAGGGCCGCGAGCCCGCAGUGUGUGUCCCGCAUCCCGCUGC
rnacentral:ncRNA from 1 species